CUUUGCAUAUGAAGGUAUGAUUCCAGCAACAUUCAUACAAUUUUUUGACAACAUAAAAAAUUACAGCAUAAUAUCGAAAAUCACCUCCUCUGGUCUGGAAGAAUGAGAAAUGGUUGCUCAAACACUGAAAAAAUCGCUGUCGGACUGGAGAAGACAGUGAAGUCGCUCGCACCGCUGGAAGAUUCAGAAAUGGUUGCUCAAACACUGAAACUAUGGCCGCCGGACUGGAGAAGACAGUGAAGUCGCUGCACGAUUGCUCAAACACUGAAAAUAUGGCCGCUGGACUGGAGAAGACUGUGAAGUCGCUGCACAAAUAUGGCCGCUGGACUGGAGAAGACAGUGAAGUCGCUGCACGACUGGAAGAAUGACGGUUGUCCAGCAAAUGGUGCUCUUCAGUUCGAAGAAGUGGAGCAGCUAAUCUCCACUACAACUUUAGGGCUUCCAUUUUGGGAGGAGAAGAGAGAUUUGGCGGGUUAUGAGGUCGAAACCAAAAUUUUCCCCCAUUUCUUCCAGCCACGUCAGUAAUAACUUAAACUUCUAUACAGCUUCUGUCAAAGGUUGCCUGUACGUCUAGCUUAAUUGUGCAAAAAAAUGAAACGUGUUGACCUUUUCUACAAGAAGUGUCAAACGUAAAAACGUUUUGUGCUAUUAAGCCCAAGUAUUUCAUGACAAUGCGGUUACAAUAUAUUAAUUUCUGUGAAUUGACUACAGAUGGAGUUCAUAAUGCCUGUCAUAUCCUAUCGAUUGUGAGUAACAUAAAUUAAUUGCAUAAAAGAAAAUUGACCCAAAUUGGAGUUGUCGAUUCUAGCCUAGUGGUUGGUAGGUGAUUGGGAUGAUGGUCGGGAGCGGUGGUGUUUAUGGGUUUCAGAUGUUUUCCGAGCAAGGAAAUGGGCGGCGGGACAGAAACAAGCAGCAGAUAAGUGUGUCACACUCGUUACAAAAAAUU
rnacentral:lncRNA from 1 species